UGGGGAAUAUUGCACAAUGGGCGCAAGCCUGAUGCAGCCAUGCCGCGUGUGUGAAGAAGGCCUUCGGGUUGUAAAGCACUUUCAGCGAGGAGGAAGGUGGUGAGCUUAAUACGCUCAUCAAUUGACGUUACUCGCAGAAGAAGCACCGGCUAACUCCGUGCCAGCAGCCGCGGUAAUACGGAGGGUGCAAGCGUUAAUCGGAAUUACUGGGCGUAAAGCGCACGCAGGCGGUUUGUUAAGUCAGAUGUGAAAUCCCCGGGCUCAACCUGGGAACUGCAUUUGAAACUGGCAAGCUAGAGUCUCGUAGAGGGGGGUAGAAUUCCAGGUGUAGCGGUGAAAUGCGUAGAGAUCUGGAGGAAUACCGGUGGCGAAGGCGGCCCCCCUGGACGAAGACUGACGCUCAGGUGCGAAAAGCGGGGGGAGCAAACAGGAUUAGAUACCCUGGUAGUCCACGCUGUAAAACGAUGUCGAUUUGGAGGUUGUGCCCUUGAGGCGUGGCUUCCGGAGCUAACGCGUUAAAUCGACCGCCUGGGGAGUACGGCC
rnacentral:rRNA from 1 species